UACGAAGGGGGCUAGCGUUGUUCGAAAUUACUGGGCGUAAAGCGCACGUAGGCGGUUCCUUAAGUCAGGGGUGAAAUCCCGAGGCUCAACCUCGGAACUGCCUUUGAUACUGGGGAUAUCGAGUCCGGGAGAGGUGAGUGGAACUGCGAGUGUAGAGGUGAAAUUCGUAGAUAUUCGCAAGAACACCAGUGGCGAAGGCGGCUCACUGGCCCGGUACUGACGCUGAGGUGCGAAAGCGUGGGGAGCAAACAGG
rnacentral:rRNA from 1 species